AACGCGAAGAACCUUACCAAGGCUUGACAUAUACCGGAAACGGCUAGAGAUAGUCGCCCCCUUGUGGUCGGUAUACAGGUGGUGCAUGGUUGUCGUCAGCUCGUGUCGUGAGAUGUUGGGUUAAGUCCCGCAACGAGCGCAACCCUUGUUCUGUGUUGCCAGCAUGCCCUUCGGGGUGAUGGGGACUCACAGGAGACUGCCGGGGUCAACUCGGAGGAAGGUGGGGACGACGUCAAAUCAUCAUGCCCCUUAUGUCUUGGGCUGCACACGUGCUACAAUGGUCGGUACAAAGGGCUGCGAUGCCGCGAGGCGGAGCGAAUCCCAAAAAGCCGGCCUCAGUUCGGAUUGGGGUCUGCAACUCGACCCCAUGAAGUUGGAGUUGCUAGUAAUCGCAGAUCAGCAUGCUGCGGUGAAUACGUUC
rnacentral:rRNA from 1 species